rnacentral:rRNA from 1 species
GAUGAACGCUGGCGGCGUGCCUAAUACAUGCAAGUCGAGCGAACAGACGAGGAGCUUGCUCCUCUGACGUUAGCGGCGGACGGGUGAGUAACACGUGGAUAACCUACCUAUAAGACUGGGAUAACUUCGGGAAACCGGAGCUAAUACCGGAUAAUAUAUUGAACCGCAUGGUUCAAUAGUGAAAGACGGUUUUGCGGUCACUUAUAGAUGGAUCCGCGCCGCAUUAGCUAGUUGGUAAGGUAACGGCUUACCAAGGCGACGAUGCGUAGCCGACCUGAGAGGGUGAUCGGCCACACUGGAACUGAGACACGGUCCAGACUCCUACGGGAGGCAGCAGUAGGGAAUCUUCCGCAAUGGGCGAAAGCCUGACGGAGCAAGGCCGCGUGAGUGAUGAAGGUCUUCGGAUCGUAAAACUCUGUUAUUAGGGAAGAACAAAUGUGUAAGUAACUAUGCACGUCUUGACGGUACCUAAUCAGAAAGCCACGGCUAACUACGUG